UGGGGAAUUGUUCGCAAUGGGCGCAAGCCUGACGACGCAACGCCGCGUGGAGGAUGACGGUCUUCGGAUUGUAAACUCCUGUUGCCCGGGACGAAUGGCUCCGACCGAAUACGUCGGAGUGUGACGGUACCGGGUGAGGAAGCCCCGGCUAACUCUGUGCCAGCAGCCGCGGUAAUACAGAGGGGGCAAGCGUUGUUCGGAAUUACUGGGCGUAAAGGGCGCGUAGGCGGCCGAUUAAGUCGCACGUGAAAUCCCCGGGCUCAACCCGGGCACUGCGUUCGAUACUGGUCGGCUUGAAUUCGGGAGAGGGAUGCGGAAUUCCAGGUGUAGCGGUGAAAUGCGUAGAUAUCUGGAGGAACACCGGUGGCGAAGGCGGCAUCCUGGACCGGCAUUGACGCUGAGGCGCGAAAGCCAGGGGAGCAAACGG
rnacentral:rRNA from 1 species